AGGCAGAUUCUGAGCCACCACGGAAAUCCUGGGGAAACUGGGAAAAUCACAUCAAACCCAACAGUGGACUUGUCUGGACCAUCAUGGGAGAGAGCCUCGAUUGUAGUAGUGAAACUCUGCGUAUGAAGAGCUUCAAAAUAGCUGAAAGAUUAACUGGCAAUCUGUAUUGAAGGAGUGAUGAUAGCCAUUCAAAUGCCUACGUUUAAUCUAGGGAUUGAGUGUUGCUCAAAGUGGAACAACGCCUAAGAUGUCUGCACCUAGCGUCCAGGAGUAAGGAGAUUCUCCAGAAGAGCUGAGGGUAAAGGAGCUGCAACCAGCGUCCAGGAAUAAGGAGAUUCUCCAGAAGAGCUGAGGAUAAAGGAUCUGCAAGUAGCGUUCAGGAAUAAGGAGAUUCUCCAGAAAAGCUGAGGAUAAAGGAUGCUCAGGAAAAUGGGGAGGUGACUUCUCUGAAACCAGAGGGCAGGACUGGAACCCAGUUCUGUCUCACUCAGAGAGCUGCAGCUCAGGAAGAAGAGAGCAGGCAGUUACCAAAAUGCAGCAUUAUUCUUGAUCAGGAAAUGUUGAUGAUUUACUGCAAAAAAGGUAAAUAGCAGCUUCUAGAAAUCAUUUCAGUGGAGUGGUAAGGGACAAAGCUGGGUGAUGGGUAGACUGUGAUGAAGACGUGACAGGAGAAUUCAAAUCAUCUUGACUUACAUUAAAGGUUAGUGAAU
rnacentral:lncRNA from 1 species